rnacentral:rRNA from 1 species
ACUACCCGCUGAACUUAAGCAUAUCAAUAAGCGGAGGAAAAGAAACCAACAGGGAUUGCCUCAGUAACGGCGAGUGAAGCGGCAAAAGCUCAAAUUUGAAAUCCCCCGGGAAUUGUAAUUUGAAGAGAUUUGGGUCCGGCCGGCGGGGGUUAAGUCCACUGGAAAGUGGCGCCACAGAGGGUGACAGCCCCGUGAGCCCCUCUAAAGCUUCUACCCCAGAUCUCCAAGAGUCGAGUUGUUUGGGAAUGCAGCUCUAAGUGGGUGGUAAAUUCCAUCUAAAGCUAAAUACCGGCGAGAGACCGAUAGCGAACAAGUACAGUGAUGGAAAGAUGAAAAGCACUUUGAAAAGAGAGUGAAAAAGUACGUGAAAUUGUUGAAAGGGAAGGGCUUGCAAGCAGACACUUAACUGGGCCAGCAUCGGGGCGGCGGGGAGCAAAACCACCGGGGAAUGUACCUUUCGAGGAUUAUAACCCCGGCCCUUACUCCCUCACCAUCCCGAGGCCUGCAAUCUAAGGAU